UUAUCGCGGGGAGUACAAAAGUGGAACUGAAAAUUGGCCACCGACUCCUUUUUUAGAAGUUUCCAUUGAUUGAUAAAAAGUAUCUUAGCAGCUUUAGAUCGCAGAUUCAGAAGAAUUGAUGGAGAAAACGUCUUUGAGCAAUCAUAAUUGAACUUAGACGGAUUGCAAAGAACGUUAAAAAAUGAUACUUGAGAGAGCGCUGCGCUUGUCUUGUUUAGGAGUAGGCCGUGGCGUGGGCCGGGAGAUCUCCGUGCCAGCGGGGACUCUGCCCGCUAGCUGAGCUGAGCCGAGCUGCGAAGACUGCUGGCCGAUGCCGAUGCACAUGCAGCCCAUCACACCAUGUCCAUUCGAAGGAGUUCCUUACAGUGUUAUCUUGAAGAAAGAAGCUGUGAUGACCAAGGGAACACACAACGUCAAAGAAGAGCCUGAUGCAUCAACACAUGAUGGACCUGCUAGACUGACAAUCCCUACGAACAAGCCUGACCUGGGGUCAUCAUGGAAAGGAGGAACCCCCAGACUGGAAGAUUUUGGAUUGAGCAGUGGCUUUUCGGAACCUGGAACAAGGAGCCUUCUUGUACUGCUACACUAACAACCCCUACCAGCAAGCCUGACCUGGGGUCAUCUUGGAAAGAGGGAACCACCAGACUGGAAGAUUUUGAAUUGAGCAGUGGCCUCUUCGCACAGAUGUGAAGGAACAAGCACUGAGCCACAAAGAGCCUCAUGAGAUGACAAGGAAGCCUCAACUAAAAGCCGUGGCCUCACUAAACUCAACCAUGCCGACCAAGAACCCAGAUAUUUUUUGCCAGUAGCUGGAGAUCCCAAAGGUGUCACUUCAUAUUGAAAGGGGUACCGCACGAUCGCUAUCAAGUUUAGAAUGACCAUUCAAGAAAAGUUUCCAUCAAAAUAUGGACCCUUUUUGCAUAAAAACAUAUCCAUUUUUUGUAUUUUUAAAUACAAAUUAGUAUAUACUUUUCAUAGAAUUUGCUUUAUAAAGUGAUAUUU